rnacentral:rRNA from 1 species
UGGCAGUCGAGCGAACUGAUUAGAAGCUUGCUUCUAUGACGUUAGCGGCGGACGGGUGAGUAACACGUGGGCAACCUGCCUGUAAGACUGGGAUAACUUCGGGAAACCGAAGCUAAUACCGGAUAGGAUCUUCUCCUUCAUGGGAGAUGAUUGAAAGAUGGUUUCGGCUAUCACUUACAGAUGGGCCCGCGGUGCAUUAGCUAGUUGGUGAGGUAACGGCUCACCAAGGCAACGAUGCAUAGCCGACCUGAGAGGGUGAUCGGCCACACUGGGACUGAGACACGGCCCAGACUCCUACGGGAGGCAGCAGUAGGGAAUCUUCCGCAAUGGACGAAAGUCUGACGGAGCAACGCCGCGUGAGUGAUGAAGGCUUUCGGGUCGUAAAACUCUGUUGUUAGGGAAGAACAAGUACGAGAGUAACUGCUUGUACCUUGACGGUACCUAACCAGAAAGCCACGGCUAACUACGUGCCAGCAGCCGCGGUAAUACGUAGGUGGCAAGCGUUAUCCGGAAUUAUUGGGCGUAAAGCGCGCGCAGGCGGUUUCUUAAGUCUGAUGUGAAAGCCCACGGCUCAACCGUGGAGGGUCAUUGGAAACUGGGGAACUUGAGUGCAGAAGAGAAAAGCGGAAUUCCACGUGUAGCGGUGAAAUGCGUAGAGAUGUGGAGGAACACCAGUGGCGAAGGCGGCUUUUUGGUCUGUAACUGACGCUGAGGCGCGAAAGCGUGGGGAGCAAACAGGAUUAGAUAC